CUACGGGCUGCUGCAGCGAGGAAUAUUGCACAAUGGGGGGAACCCUGAUGCAGCAACGCCGCGUGGAGGAUGACGCAUUUCGGUGUGUAAACUCCUUUUAUAUGUCAAGAAAAUGACGGUAGCAUAUGAAUAAGCACCGGCUAACUCCGUGCCAGCAGCCGCGGUAAUACGGAGGGUACAAGCGUUACUCGGAAUCACUGGGCGUAAAGGACGCGUAGGCGGGUUGGAAAGUCAGGUGUGAAAUCCUACAGCUUAACUGUAGAACUGCACUUGAAACUUCUAAUCUAGAGGAUGGGAGGGGGAGAUGGAAUUAGUGGUGUAGGGGUAAAAUCCGUAGAUAUCACUAGGAAUACCUAAAGCGAAGGCGAUCUCCUGGAACAUUACUGACGCUAAGGCGUGAAAGCGUGGGGAGCAAACAGGAUUAGAUACCCCCGUAGUC
rnacentral:rRNA from 1 species